rnacentral:rRNA from 1 species
AACGUAGGACGCGAGCGUUAUCCGGAGUUACUGGGCGUAAAGCACGGGCAGGCGGUCUGACAAGUCUGAUGUGAAAUCUCCGGGCUUAACCGGGAGAGGCCAUUGGAAACUGACAGGCUGGAGGGCAGUAGAGGUAGGCGGAAUUCCGGGUGGAGUGGUGAAAUGCGUAGAGAUGUGGAGGAACACCGAUGGCGAAGGCAGCCCCCUGGGCUAACACUGACGCUCAUGCACGAAAGCGUGGGGAGCAAACAGG